UACGUAGGGCGCAAGCGUUUAUCCGGAAUUAUUGGGCGUAAAGAGCUCGUAGGCGGUUUGUCGCGUCUGCCGUGAAAGUCCGGGGCUCAACUCCGGAUCUGCGGUGGGUACGGGCAGACUAGAGUGAUGUAGGGGAGACUGGAAUUCCUGGUGUAGCGGUGAAAUGCGCAGAUAUCAGGAGGAACACCGAUGGCGAAGGCAGGUCUCUGGGCCGAUACUGACGCUGAGGAGCGAAAGCGUGGGGAGCGAACAGG
rnacentral:rRNA from 1 species